rnacentral:lncRNA from 1 species
UUCUUUUCCUAACAAGAUAAACAGUAUCUCCCCCUCCUACAGUUCCCUCUAUAGGCUGGUCUGUUCCCUCCCUCCCCUGGAGCACUUGAAUAAGUGUUGACUUCUCCUACAGAAGAAGAAAGAAGCUGCUGGCAGCCCCUCAAGGAGCAGGAAACGCAUGGAGCAGCUAGAGGCAGAGAGGCCCUCUGUGGUGGUCUCAUUUAACCCAGCUGUUCCCUGUAAAUUUUCUGAAGAUUUGAUUGUUGUAAUUUGAGCACGUGGACCAAAGCGACCUUGGUCACUCAGAAAGGAUGACAUGAUUUUGGAAAAUGCUUGUGAGGAAGUGUUCUCUGCAAUGAAGAGCCCGAGGUGCCCAGCCUUCAGCUAUGAGACAGCUCCCGCCUGUUCUCACUCAGCAAAAAGAAGAGUUUGCCAGCAGUCAAGUGGAAAACGUUUGACUGAUAAGUAUAUCACGGUCCACUCCAGAGAAGUCAGGUACAGACUGAGCUGGAAUUCUGCUCCCGGUGUUAUGGUGUCAAGGUGCCAGGGACGUGAUAACCAUUCCAAAGGACAGAUGUCAGAUGUGAGUACAGGGUGUCACAGCCCUUCAACCCUUCUCUUGCCACGUUUGUUUCUUCUUCAGAGAACAAAGGCUCGGCCGCCCUGCUUUACUGGAGAAACACAAUAUAGCUGA